GCGGGAUUCGUACAGUGGUAGUACGCCGGUCUCCAAAACCGGUGACGCAGGUUCGAUUCCUGCAUCCCGUGCGA
rnacentral:tRNA from 1 species